rnacentral:rRNA from 1 species
UCGGGAAUUUUGGGCAAUGGGCGAAAGCCUGACCCAGCAACGCCGCGUGAGGGAUGAAGUAUUUCGGUAUGUAAACCUCGAAAGAAUGGGAAGAAUAAAUGACGGUACCAUUUAUAAGCUCCGGCUAACUACGUGCCAGCAGCCGCGGUAAUACGUAGGGAGCAAGCGUUGUUCGGAUUUACUGGGCGUAAAGGGAGCGUAGGCGGCGCGGUAAGUCACUUGUGAAAUCUCUGAGCUUAACUCAGAACGGCCAAGUGAUACUGCUGUGCUAGAGUGCGGAAGAGGCAACCGGAAUUCUUGGUGUAGCGGUGAAAUGCGUAGAUAUCAAGAGGAACACCUGAGGCGAAGGCGGGUUGCUGGGCCGACACUGACGCUGAUGCGCGAAAGCCAGGGGAGCAAACG